AGGGUGAGAUUAUGCAAAUCUUCCUCACCCUGAGGAAAUGUAUGCUGGGGGGCUGAUAACCACUGGGUACUGCCAGCGCCAGACUGGUUUGCUGUACGAACAGAAUAGAUAGUUGCACCACACAAGCCCUUGCACUUUUACAAGUGCUAAGACUGCGUGUAAAUGUAUGUACGCCAUGCAUGUGUGAUCAUGAACUUCAGAGAGGUGUAUGACUGUCGUUUUCAGUGCUGCUAGUCAGUGCAGUCUCUAUUUUUAUGGAGUUUCUAUGUUGCGGUACCUCACAGCAAGCAACUGUGACACCAGACCAACCGGCCUCGAAGCCACGACAUCCACACUGGAUUAUGUGCCACUCUUAACCCUGCCUUUUCUUUGUUCACUUCUACAUGUGCAUGUGUGGAUGGAUGACUGUAUCCCUGUCAGAGAAACUGCUACAACCAAACCAACACCAUCUUCAACUCAACCCAAAACCAUAUCCAGCCCAGUCCAGCCAGGCUGGACCCCCACUGUCCUCACUACCUCCAUGAAGUAAAGAUGGUAGAUGGUGGCUGGGGUGUCAGAGGCCUCGCAGAUGGAUGGGGAAUUCACACUGGCAAAAUGUGAGUGAAUGGUGCUACAUGCAGCCCAUGCAGCCGCACUUGAUGGUCUUUUCCACUUCCUCGCUGAAGGAGGUUCCAUCGCUGCAUUCAAAGGUGUAUUUCCGGCGUUUCACCCGCUGGCUGGCGCAGCAGGCCCCUGUGUCGCAAGCUCCGGUGCACUCCACCCAAGAGACCAUGCGUGUUGUCUGGCAGAUGGCGUAGCCUCGCUGUACCUGGUAGAAGUCUCGCACAGGCUCCCCCCGACACUCAGACUCUGGAGAAGAGGGACACAGACAUUAUUGUAAUUAUUUUAUCAUAUCAUUUUGUUUGAAUUCCCCUACCCCCCUUAGAAAUACAGACUAUUAAAUGACUUUAGGCCGGUUGCCCUGACCUCCUUAGUUAUGAAGUGUUUUGAAAAACUGGUUAAAAAAAAGUUGUCCUCACAAAAACUGAGAAUCUCAUUGACCCACUACAGUUUGCUUACAGGGCUAAGCGUGGGGUAGAUGAUGCCACUGUUACUCUGUUAAAUUUGUGAUUCAAACACCUCGAAGGUAGUAAAACACAUGCAAGAUUUUAUUUGUUGAUUUUUCAUCUGCUUUUAAUACAAUCCAACCACACAUUUUAGUUGACAAGCUCUUAAAGAACUUUGACCUUGAUUUUAACAUGGGUUGGAUUCUUGACUUUUUAACUCAUAGAGUAAGGGUGAAUGGUUGCUUGUUGGAGAAGAUGUCAUCAUCCACGGGGUCUCCUCAGAGGUGUGUCCUCUCACCACUCCUCUAUAUUCUAUAUUGCCGCAGCCAGCAUGAUAACAGACACAUUUUAAAAUUUGCAGAUGAUUCUGCUAUUGACAGUCUCCUCUUCUCCGAGGAAAGUGAUCAUGGUCCUGUUGUUGAUGAUUUUGUGCUCUGGUGUGAUAGGGCAUUCCUUCAAUUAAAUGUAAAAAAGACAAAGGAUAUGCUGAUUGAUUUUAGGCGUAAGUGAUCAACUCCUCAGAACACUACCAAUGGGCAGAUGGUGGGAUCCGUAGAAACAUAUAAGUUGAAUUUUCCAACAAUUCCAACAGUGAGAUGUUUUGCAAAAAAGGCCAACAAAGACUGUUUUGCCUUCGCAAGCUGUCAAAGUUUCAUGUCGAUAAGACCCUCAUGACCCUUUUUUAUGAAUCAUACAUUGAGUCUGUAUUAACAUUUUCUGUAAUUUGCUGGUAUGGUAAUCUCACUGUCAAGGCCAAAACUGCUCUUUCCAAUAUGGUGAAAGUCAGCAGUAAAAUUCUAGGUCUCCAGCAGUGUAGUCUCACUGACCUGUAUAACAGACAGGUAGUUAGGAAGGCCAAAUCAAUUAUUUCUGAUAGCACCCACCCCCUUCAUUUGGAGUUUCAGAUCCUACCUUCUGGUUCUCGGUUCAGAUUACCCCCGGUAAAGAGCAAUAGAUACAGGCACUCAUUCAUUCCGCCAUCUCCUUUCUAAACUCAGUCUGGAGAAGUAGAUAAAUUUCACAAUUAAAUAGUGAUGGGGUUGUUAUAACAUGAAUAGUACUGACGUUGAUGAUGUUGUUGAUGUGAUGGUGAUUGUUGUGGAAAUGUUUUUGAUGAUGAACAUUGUUGGAUGUUUCUUUUCAACAUAUGGCUGUCAAAUGGGAGGCCUUUUUAUUUAUUUAUUUUCAGAAAUGGAGCACCUUAUUCUAUAGCACUUUAGCAUUUAGGCCUAUCUAUCUUCUCAAUUAUCUGUUGUACAACCAGAGUCUGUAACAUUUUAGUAUUUUAUGUAUUUUGGUCUUGUUUGAUAUCUGUGUCUGUCCUGUGUCUGUGUCUUGCUGCAGAACCAAUUGCCCUACGGGGACAAAUAAAUGUUAAGUUAAGUUAA